CGAGGAAAAGAAACCAACAGGGAUUGCCUCAGUAGCGGCGAGUGAAGCGGCAAAAGCUCAAAUUUGAAAUCUGGCGUCUUUGGCGUCCGAGUUGUAAUUUGAAGAAGGUAUCUUUGGGCCCGGCUCUUGUCUAUGUUCCUUGGAACAGGACGUCACAGAGGGUGAGAAUCCCGUGCGAUGAGAUGACCCGGGUCUGUGUAAAGUUCCUUCGACGAGUCGAGUUGUUUGGGAAUGCAGCUCUAAGUGGGUGGUAAAUUCCAUCUAAAGCUAAAUAUUGGCGAGAGACCGAUAGCGAACAAGUACAGUGAUGGAAAGAUGAAAAGAACUUUGAAAAGAGAGUGAAAAAGUACGUGAAAUUGUUGAAAGGGAAGGGCUUGAGAUCAGACUUGGUAUUUUGCAUGCUGCUCUCUCGGGGGCGGCCGCUGCGGUUUACCGGGCCAGCAUCGGUUUGGAGCGGCAGGAUAAUGGCGGAGGAAUGUGGCACGGCUUCUGCUGUGUGUUAUAGCCUCUGACGAUGCUGCCAGCCUAGACCGAGGACUGCGGUUUUUAACCUAGGAUGUUGGCAUAAUGAUCUUAAGUCGC
rnacentral:rRNA from 1 species